GCGGACGGCCGGAUGGUCGCGCCCCGUGUCCGGAGACGGCCGGGGCGAGGAAAGUCCGGGCUCCACGGAGACACGGUGCCGGGUAACGCCCGGCGGGGGCAACCCCAGGGAAAGCGCCACAGAGAACAGUCCGCCGGGCGUCGGUCCGGCAAGGGUGAAACGGUGGGGUAAGAGCCCACCGCGCCUCCGCGUGAGCGGGGCGGCACGGCAAACCCCGUCCGGAGCAAGGCCACAUAGGGGAGGAUGCGGUGGCUCGCCGCGCUCGACUCCCGGGUAGGCCGCUCAGAUCGAUGGCCGUCCUCUCGGUCCCUCUCCGGAGGGGUGGGGAGACAGAACCCGGCUUAUAGUCCACCCGCCUCC
rnacentral:RNase_P_RNA from 1 species